rnacentral:rRNA from 1 species
GCCUACAGCCAUACCAUUCUGAAGGUGUCUUAUCUCCUCGGAUCUAGGGAGGUAAGCAGGGUCGGCCUGGUUUGGAUGGGACACCACCUGGGAAUACCAGGUCUAAAAGCU